GAAGAGAUAAGAGGGAUAAAAAGAAAGAAAAGAUGUAGAAGGAGCCCUAAGAAUUGAUUUAUAAGAGGAGCUGUACUCCUCACUUUUUCAUCCAUCAGCAGAUGAAAACAUAGAGCAACAACCAUAAUACCUAAGAAAAAUCUGAAAAAACUUACUGAGCUUUUAAAACCAUAGGAAGAUCUAGGUUCUAGAGGAAUCUCUAAAACUAUUUCAACUUCUUUGGAUGUUUAAAGGUUGAGUGUGCGGUUUCUGGGUUUUUAGAAAAGCUGGUUUGAUCAAUUGUUGUUGAUUUUGCUGUUUCUUCUGUUGCUGAGCUCCAACUAGUAGAUCUCUGGCCUUUAUUUUGCUAUUUAAAGCUGUAUUGUGUCAAAACUAGACCGCUGGGCUUGAUGCUCUGAUCCGAUCAUAGAGGCAACGAAGUCUCCAACUCCGAAAUUCCAUGGCCAAGCGGGUUUGAAAUGGCCCAACCUCGUGAGCCCAAUAGAUAUGGGCCCUUCCUAAAUCCCAUGUUAGCCUAACUGAUCCACUUGGUAAUUUUUAGCAUGUAACCCAAUAAUUUGUUAUGCUUUGUAAACCAAAUUGAUUUGUAAUCAACUGUUAGAUCCUUCACUGA